CUCGUUCUAUUCUUCACAUUCCAAAUCACGGCACCUUGUCUAGGGCUCAUUCAUCUGAUCUUAGCAAAACUAAUUAUCUUUGCAUUCUUCACCUAUUCAAGCAUUCUAGUCGAAGAAAUCCGAUUUCGUCUAUCGUUCAAGAGGAUUAGCCAAGCGAUUUCUUCUCAUCUCUCAACUCUUGAGUAGCCGCUACUUUGAUACAAUCAGACCAAUACUUCAAAGCUUGAGACUGAGUUUGCCUUUUGUCGUCUCCAUUCGUUUGUAUCUCAUUUGAGUUGACUUCUAAGUUGUGAAUGGUUGGUGCUCUUCAAGAUGUUCGAUCUGACUUGACACAGAGUUGCGAGUUCUUUUUUAUAAAGUUUUGGAGGAUUUGGAUGCACAUCUUUAUAAUAAGGGUGAAUAUAGGUUCGCUUUUCUCUAAGUUUUUGUUUUGUGGAACAAAGGCAUUGGAUAUGCUGCUUGGUUACAAGUUUUUGAUCUUGCUUUGAUUGCUUUCAUGCUCGUGGAGUCCCUGCUGAUAUGGUCCAUUGUUAAUUUUUUGCUUAUUGGUCUUUUUUGUAUUUAGCUUAUUGGAUUAUCAUAUCCAUAUAGCUAUCUUUGAAGGGUAGCCCAGAAUGAAGGC